GAACAGGUUUCUUGGGCAGGGUGGAAGUACUUCGGCUGCAGCUCCCGACGUCACACCGGCGCCUGACUUAGCUUUCGAAGACUCCCAGCCACCGAUUCGGAGAAGUUUUAGGGCUACCAGUCUGGUCGCCGAAUGAAAAUCUUGGAUGCAUUCGUUCUUUCAUCGGGCCAGCAAAGUUUUCAAUGGCUAAUCCGGUAGAGAUGCAUCGAGUUCCCACAGUCAGGAAGGGGCCUGGAGAUCUACGUGUUGGUAGAGACUGCAGCCAGGGGGACAUUUGGAAACGGGCGACCGAUGUCCGUAGAUUUAUGUACGUAGAAGAGUGAUUUGAUUGUAAAAUAUAAAUAUAUUUAUUUUUCAUCAAUAUAAAAUGAAUUCUUGCAGUAUGUGAAUGUUUUAUAUUGAUUGUUAAAUGAUUAAUAUAUUUUAUAUGUAUUAACAUUCGGAGUAGAUGGGUCUGAAAAACUUGUAAAAUCAUUUUCCAAACUAUAUCAAUAAAUUCCCUACAUUACAAACAAACAUUAGAGAAAUGUACUGUAAUUUAGGUGAGGUUAGAGAAGGGACAUCAAAACUCCUCUAUUGUUUAGUGAAACAGCUAUCCAUAAUGUUUUUUCGAGACAAGGACACGCCCUUUACAUAUGGGAAAGACCGCGAUUGGCCUGUGGUUUGGAAAGCUCGACCAAUCACGUUUCAGGACACCGCGGUUGGUAGCGUCAUUCCAAAAAAAGCGAUGCAGUCCUCGAACUUGCAUUGAAAUUGUUCGAAUGCCUCCUCAACAUCCUAGAAAAUCAUCUAAAAAUAGAAAAUAUACUUCGCAGAAUAUCAAAUAUUACUCAAAGAUGAUAUAAAACGUGAACUCUUCCUUCUCAAAUUACAAAUCUGAUAUUUUUAGGCACGAUACCUUCCUCCUGAGAUGACAAUUACCAAACUGACAUGCAGGAAAUCGGACAAGGCCUUAGGCGACUCAAAGGCCAGGGCCAGAAAAUCUUUGCUGCAUUUGCCCAUUCAUCGGAGCUCCGAAGUUUUCAAUGGGAAGCGACCGUAGAGUGCAUAGUCUUCCCACGAAUGUAGAUGCAGCCUGAGAAAAUGGUCCAUAGAUGGCGUUGGCUCUCGGUCCUUUAGGGGUAUGCGGUUGAAAAGGUGAUAGAGUGUUGUUAUGGAUAUGUAUGUAGCCUUUAUUAGUUACUGUGUGAGAGUUGGUGUUCUGUGGAAAAAGUUUAUAGAUAUUUUUAUUGUGAUUUGUAUUUUUUUACAAUUAUAUUAAUUAAUACAUACGUAAAAAUGCAUUUUGUGUAUUGCAAGAACAUAUUUCAGAAAUAUUUAUUGACAUUUAAAUACUGAGACUGACUACAUGGCCGGCAAUGAACCUGUAAAGUGUCAGAUAAUCAAUAUAUCUUGAUAUUCCUUCCAGUCAAGUAAAGCUCAUUGAAGAAUAUAAAAA
rnacentral:lncRNA from 1 species